ACACACACACACACACACACACACACACACACGCGCGCAUACACUUACAAACGCACACUCUAACUCACACACACUGUUCAUACAUGCGCACAAACACAGUGUGUAUGGCUUUAGAUCUCACUCUUCAAACCCUCCUGAAGCCCCGCCCCUCAGCUCUGUAGCUCGUUCCCAUUGGUGGAGCAGUUUGUCUCCACUAGCAGCGCUAAUUAACUGCCGAAGUUCUAUUUCGUCCAGCUGUAGUUACCUGUAUGAAGUGCUAACUGAGCACUAGCUGUGUUAGCCCUGUGUUACCCACAUGCUAAUAAGAAACUCAUGGUAGCCCCGUUUUGUCUGCAAGCUAAACCAAAUAAUGGCGUUGCUUAUGAUGUGGUCGUCCUGUGUUGCCGUUGUUUCAGGUCUGUGUUAACUUUAUGCUAGCCACCUUGGCCCACUUUUUACACCUAGCUUUGUUAUCUAAUCAUCAGUCCCAUGUUAGCAGUGUGCUAACAAUGCUUAUCACUUGUUAGCCUGGUCUCUUUAACUUGUUCCAAGUCUGUGCUUGUCAUGUACUAGCUACAUGAUCCAAGUGUUAGCCUCAUGUUAGCAGUGUGCUACAUAGGCUAGCUGUGUUAGCCCUGUGCUAACAGCAAGUUGUGUAAACCAAAUAUUUUCCAAAAAUUAUCUACGUUUAGCAUAUGUUAGUCCUGUGUUAGCUAUAUUUUAGGUUUGUGCUAACCAUAUAUUAGCCACAUUGUAACACACAGCUUUGCUCACUAGGUGUCAGACCUGAGUUAACAGUGUGCUAACCAAAUAUUUAUCAUUUUUUACAAGUCUGUGCUUCUGUGUACCAGAAAUUAUCCAAGUGUUACCUCUGUGUUAGCAGUUUGCUAGACAGCCUAGCCAUGUUAACAAUAAGCCUCAUUAGACAGAUGUUUACCAGAUCUUAGCUAUGUUUACUAUACGUUAGUCCUGUGUUAUCUUUGUUUUUGUUAACCAUAUAAGGGCCCCAUUAGCUCCAUGGUAACACCUAGGUUUGCUCACUCGAGAACAGAUCCAUGUUAGCAGUGUGCUAGUCAUGUAUUUAGUCUAUUUAACAGGUUAACCUCGUCUUUACCUUGUUCCAAAUCCAUUCUUGCCAUGUGCUAGCCACAUUAUUCAAGUGUUAGUCUUGGUUUAGCAGUGUGCUAGACAGGCUAGCUGUGUUAGUCUUGUUAGUGUUUUUUGAGAUAAGUGUUAGACAUACUUUAGCUGUAUGCUAAAUGCGUAAUAGCAACGUUUAUUAGAGGUCAUUCUAAUGUUAGCUGUGUGCUAACCAGAUACACGUAUUAGCCCUGAAGAUUGGAGGCGUGUACUAACCUGACAUUAGAGGUGUUGGCACUGAACUAGCCAUCUUCUACCACCUGAGUUUAAUUAGGUGUGAAUACUAGCUAACUCUACUGGCUGUAGCUGUGUGUUAGCCAAGGUGCUAGCUCUGUGCUAGCCAUUUGUUCUGUUUAGCAGAUGUUAGCCCUGUGUUAAUCUUGUGCAAGGACUGUGCAAAACACACACUGGCCAUGUUGGCUCUGUGCUAACCAUGUGCUAAUGAAACACUUGCUAUGUUUACUAGAUGGUAAACAUGUUUGAUUGGUGGUAAACGUAGCUCCUAUUAGUCUUGUGCUAUGUGUAUAGCCACAUGUUAUGGUUAUGCUAGCCCUGUGUUAAGAGUGUGUGGGCAACAUGGGACCUACACACUAGCAAUGUGCUGGAAAUCCAACACUUCACAGUUGUCAGAGUAGAACAGCCAAUCACAGCUACCCACACAGAAACAGCCAAUCACAGCUUCCCUCUGGCAGAGCAGCUGUUGGGUUCGACUCAGACGGGUUUCUAUUGGUCAAUGGUGCUGAGGGAGGGUUCUGAUUGGCCAGUUUAAAUAGUGAGUUCAGACUGAGGUGAGAGCAGGAACAUGUUGACAUCACUCAAAAAUAAACACACGCACACACACACGUGCACACGCGCACACACACGCGCACACACACGCGCACACAGGUAUUUACUGUCACAGGUUUCCUGCUUUAACAGGACUUUUUUUCUCGUGUAACGUCGUUUUUGUGGUUAUGAGGUGAAGGUUUUCGGGGUUCGAUGGGUUCGAUGUGAACAGCGACGGGACUGAACCGUUCUUUAAUCUAUUUUACAUCUUUUCAGGUUCAGUCGCCAUAGAAACAAACAAACAAACAGAGAGAACUGACAACAGUCAAUCAAAAAACACACCGAUCGAUUAGCAUAAUUAGAUCACUGUUACUGGGGGGGGGGGGGCAUGCUUAGCUUCUUCCUGGGAGCUGAUUGCUUGAGUCGAACCAAUCACAGACAGGCGGGGAAAUGUUUGUUUUCUGAUUGGUUCCAGCCAAUCAGCUGAAUCUCUCAGAAUCUGUCUGUCGUCCCGGCUGCCUCACUGGUUGAGGGAAGAAGAAGGGGGCGUGGCGUUGAGGUGGGUGGGGCUUAACUGGCCUUGUGUUUAAACACACACAACAUACACACACACAGACACACACACAUACAUACACAGUGUGGCCAGUCCAACAGGUGUAAACAGUAGAAAAAGAUUCUUAUUGAACUGCUCAGUGUCAUCAUCAUCAUCAUCAUCAUCAUUAUUACUCUUCCAGUGUGCAGCUCGGUCAUGGCACAGAACUAAAAUGUCAACAGUAAACCCUCCGUCUUUGUGUCCUUUUCGUUAGGGAUGCUCCGAUCGAUAUCAGCAGAUAAUUGUUGGACAUUACUUGAUUUUGUGACGAUAAAAUUCAUCAGUAGAGAAAAACAAAGUAAACAUUGUAGCUCCAAGCAUCCAAGAAGAACUGAACCUCAGGAACCACAACAGAUAUUAACCUGUGGUUCUGCCAAGGACAUAGAUUACCUCAGGUGUCUUGAUAAAUGUUAGGCUAAUUAGUUUCAAAAGGUAAAAUAUUAGGUUGUUUCACGGCGUAACAUGUUUUAACAUGUUAACAAGUUUUUACGGUUGGCAUCACAAACUCUCAUCAAAUGUCUUUUGUAGCUCCAUGUUGAAGCACAACCAAUAAACUGCGUAAUUUCCGCAUGUUCAGCACUUCAAGACCUUCCCAAAAGUUCCAGGACUUUCAGAAACAGAAAGUACUACCUCCAAACACAGACUUUUUGGGGGUAAAUCUAUGUUUUAGAACUUCAUUUAGUGGAAACGUCCCUUAAACAGACGAUGAGGAUGGAAGGUCAAGAAUGGAUGGUUCAGGUCAGCUUGUCUCAUCUAAACCCAAAAAGGUUGCUUUCGGGUUCAAGUAUGUCUUGCAUAUUUCUGCAUCUGUGUAGCAGCGAUGGUUCGUAUGUUGACGUUUCAACAUGUCUAGUGGGGUCUGUACGUAAAUUUAGGGUUGUCUUAAAAAGACUCUAGCCAAAGCACCUUAACACUUCCCUAAUUCUAUAGCUUCCAGUAAAUUGUGCAUAAUAAAAGUCUACAAAGGCGUACCCUUACAAGUUGUUCUUCAUAGACAACCAAGCAUUAGUGCCUUGAUUUUGUCUGCCCAUCAUGAACAAGGACUUCCAGCACGAUCCAUGGUAGGACUCCAAAUGUAGGAUCUCUGGAAUACCAACGGGACUAGUCUGAGAAGUUUGGAAUUCUUUACUGAUUCUUUACUUACUGACUUUUGGAAAUUAUAAUUUGGAGUUCUGUAAUUUUGCAGGAUUACCUGGUACGUUGAGUAUCUAAUUUGAGAAGCUGCAUCAUGAUGUUGCCUUCAACCUUCCUUACGAACUUACCAAACCACAACCAUUUAUGAACUUUAACUCCCCCGUAUCCAAUUCUUUCAAGACUUGCACUUAAUCUCACGUCUAAACCUUCAGGUCCGGUCAGGGUAUGUCAGCUUCUCCCAGUUUUAUGUGUGACAGCAUCAAAGCAGCAGUAUCCUUACAGUAUCUGAGACAUCUUUUCCAUCAGCUUUUUCAACAUCAGGCGGAACCAUUUGAUGCAUUUAAACCUCACUCAUACCCUGGCCUCUAUUGUCAAAUGAUUCA
ensembl:lncRNA